UACGGAGGGUGCAAGCGUUAUUCGGAAUUAUUGGGCGUAAAGGGCGUGUAGGCGGCCAGAUCAGUCAGAGGUGAAAGCCCGGGGCUCAACCCGGGAAGUGCCUUUGAAACUAUUUGGCUUGAGUGCGGGAGAGGAAAGCGGAAUUCCCAGUGUAGAGGUGAAAUGCGUAGAUAUUGGGAGGAACACCGGUGGCGAAGGCGGCUUUCUGGACCGCCACUGACGCUGAGGCGCGAAAGCGUGGAGAGCAAACAGG
rnacentral:rRNA from 1 species